rnacentral:tRNA from 1 species
UCCCUGGUGGCUCAGAUGGUAAAGUGUCUGCCUACAAUGCUGGAGACCCGGGUUUAAUUCCUGGAUUGGGAA